UUGUAUCAAAGUAAGGCAACUUCAUUCACUUUUGAUCAGUUAAACAUCUGCCAUCACUUAGAAUCGAACAAUUAUGAACAUCAGUUGAAAUAAGUAUAGGGAACUAAAAAUUCGCUCGAACAUGAUUUAAAAGUGAAGAAUAUAUCUUAAAGUUCCGAAGUAGCAGAACCAGAAUGUCCGGAUUGCCAUGGGAAAGCGAGGAAAGUCAAAACUACAUUCGAGCGGAAUACAUUGUCACUGAUGCUGUAAGGAAGGAGUUGAGGGAUUUCUUUAUUCAGGAAUGGAACAAACGUUACCAGGCUUCUUUCGGAGCGUGGG